GGAACCUUCUGUUCCUCCGUGCACCCCAAGACAUCGAAUAUCUUGGUAAUUUGCUUGACCCACGUUUCUGCCUUGAUCGAAUCCGGCUUUCCAUGGAAAUCUGGUGGUCCCAACUCCUUGAACUGCUUGGCUGUGACAGACCGCGCGUUGCUAUCAUUUCCACCCGUAUUUUGUACACGAGUCUCCCUCGUCUGAUUUUGCAUGAACUGCAAAAAGCUCCUAAACAU
rnacentral:lncRNA from 1 species